AUAUCCAUGAAGUCGAAUCCUCCUCAAAGGGGGUACCGGGGGUUAUAUUUUGGGGUGAAGCUUUUAUUAAGCAGGGGUCCUCUACUCUAACCCGUCAACUAACCCGGAAGACAUAAGGAGGAUACAA
rnacentral:sRNA from 2 species